rnacentral:ncRNA from 10 species
AUCGUUCAUCCUUAAGGGGACGGAAGUAAUCGUAAGAUGAAGGAACGCAUU